rnacentral:rRNA from 1 species
AAGCCUUUCGGCUUAACCGGAGAAGUGCAUCGGAAACUGGAUAACUUGAGUGCAGAAGAGGGUAGUGGAACUCCAUGUGUAGCGGUGGAAUGCGUAGAUAUAUGGAAGAACACCAGUGGCGAAGGCGGCUACCUGGUCUGCAACUGACGCUGAGACUCGAAAGCAUGGGUAGCGAACAGGAUUAGAUACCCUGGUAGUCCAUGCCGUAAACGAUGAGUGCUAGGUGUUGGAGGGUUUCCGCCCUUCAGUGCCGGAGCUAACGCAUUAAGCACUCCGCCUGGGGAGUACGACCGCAAGGUUGAAACUCAAAGGAAUUGACGGGGGCCCGCACAAGCGGUGGAGCAUGUGGUUUAAUUCGAAGCUACGCGAAGAACCUUACCAGGUCUUGACAUCUUGCGCCAACCCUAGAGAUAGGGCGUUUCCUUCGGGAACGCAAUGACAGGUGGUGCAUGGUCGUCGUCAGCUCGUGUCGUGAGAUGUUGGGUUAAGUCCCGCAACGAGCGCAACCCUUGUUACUAGUUGCCAGCAUUAAGUUGGGCACUCUAGUGAGACUGCCGGUGACAAACCGGAGGAAGGUGGGGACGACGUCAGAUCAUCAUGCCCCUUAUGACCUGGGCUACACACGUGCUACAAUGGACGGUACAACGAGUCGCGAACUCGCAAGGGCAAGCAAAUCUCUUAAAACCGUUCUCAGUUCGGACCGCAGGCUGCAACUCGCCUGCACGAAGUCGGAAUCGCUAGUAAUCGCGGAUCAGCAUGCCGCGGUGAAUACGUUCCCGGGCCUUGUACACACCGCCCGUCACACCAUGAGAGUUUGUAACACCCAAAGUCGGUGGGGUAACCUUUUAGGAGCCAGCCGCCUAAGGUGGGACAGAUGAUUAGGGUGAAGUCGUAACAAGGUAACCGUA